GACGAACGCUGGCGGCGUGCCUAAUACAUGCAAGUCGAACGCAGUUGGGACGGGUGAGUAACACGUGGGUAACCUCCCCAUCAGAGGGGAUCACACUUGGAAACAGGUGCUAAACCGAUACUGAUGGAUGGACCCGCGGUGCAUUAGCUAGUUGGUGAUGUAACGGCUCAACAAGGCCACGAUGCGUAGCCGACCUGAGAGGGUGAUGGGCAACACUGGGACUGAGACACGGCCAGGACUCAUACGUGAGUCAGCAGUAGGGAAUCUUCGGCAAUGGACGAAAGUCUGACCGAGAAACGCCGCGUGAGUGAAGAAGGUUUUCGGAUCGUAAAACUCUGUUGUUAGAGAAGCGGUAUCUAACCAGAAAGCCACGGCUAACUCCGUGCCAGCAGCCGCGGUAAUUC
rnacentral:rRNA from 1 species